UUUAUGCAGAACCAGAAAAAAUAAACAAAAGAAGCUUCAUCAAUGUAGAGUUUCAUUCUUGUUUGAUUUUGGAGAGGCAACACUCUUCCAUUCACAAUCAUAGUAACCUUUCUACUUUAGAUCUUAUGGCUAUGAAAUCAUGUUCUCAUGCAUCUAGCUAUGAUGUGCUCCUCAACUAAGAAGGAGAGAUUCAACCAUAACAUGGAAAAAUUGGAGAAAUGGAAGAUGGAUCUGCAUCAAGUAGCUAACUUGUUAGGCUUUCAACUCAAACAUGGAAAUGGAUCCAACUACAAGAUUAAUGAUGCAGUUCAACUGGGGUCACCGGUGCAAGAUCUAAGGAAGGUUUUGGAUGUUGGUUCUGUUGAUGGUGUACACACGAUAGAGAUCUAUGAAAUAGGUGGAAUAGGAAAAACAACAAUUGCUAGCAAUUCACAAUUUGCUUGCUAACCAUGGCUCAUGUUUUCUUUCAAAUGUUAGAGAAAAAUCAAACAAACAUGGUUACAACAUCUCCAAAGCAUCAUUCUUUUAAAAAUACUUGGAGAGAAGAAAAUUAAGUUAGCAAGCGAGAGCAACAAGGAAUUUAAAAAAUACGGUAUAAGAUCAAGAGAAAUAAGGUUCUCUUGAUUCUAGAUGAUGUUGGCGUGCAUGAACAAUUACAUGCAAUUGCUGGAUGAGUUGAUUGGUUUCCUGGCAGCAGAGUCAUCAUCACAACUCGAGACAAACAAUUGCUAGCUAGCAUCUUAUGAGGUUAAAAGAACAUGUCAGAUGAAGAAAUUGAAUAAGAACCAUGUUCUUCAAUUGCUGACAUGGAAAGCUUUUAAAAAGAAAAUAGGUCUUGAACCGUGUAACAACUUGAGCUUCUCGCCUUCCAUUGACUUUGGAAGUAAUAGGUUCUAACUUGUUUGAAAAAAGUAUGAAGAAUGGGAAUUGCUAUCAAACAAUACAAUAGAAUUCCUAAUAGUCAAAUCUGGAGAUUCUUAAAGUAAGCUUUGACGUUACGGAGGAAGAGAAGAAAUGUGUUUCUUGACAUUGCUUCUUGCUAUAAAAGAUAUGCCUUCAUAGAAGUUAAUUUUUAAAAAUCUUGUUUCAUUUGUUGUUUUUAUUUUCUUUUUCUAUAGUGUUUAUGGAGAAAUUUACAUUGCAUGACUUAUUGAGGGUAUGUGUAAAGAAUUUGUCUAGCAGAAAUCACCCCAAGAGUCAGACAAGCACAGUAAAGUAUGGUUACUAGAAAAUAUAAUUAAAAUUUGAGAAGAUAAGUGACUCAUGAAUUGUUUGGUUACUUAUCUUGAUUUA